GAUGAACGCUGGCGGCGUGCCUAAUACGUGCAAGUCGAGCGAACCACUUCGGUGGUGAGCGGCGAACGGGUGAGUAACACGUAGGUUAUCUGCCCAUCAGACGGGGACAACGAUUGGAAACGAUCGCUAAUACCGGAUAGGACGAAAGUUUAAAGGUGCUUCGGCACCACCGAUGGAUGAGCCUGCGGCGCAUUAGCUAGUUGGUAGGGUAAAGGCCUACCAAGGCGACGAUGCGUAGCCGACCUGAGAGGGUGAACGGCCACACUGGGACUGAGACACGGCCCAGACUCCUACGGGAGGCAGCAGUAGGGAAUCUUCGGCAAUGGGCGAAAGCCUGACCGAGCAACGCCGCGUGAAUGAUGAAGGCCUUCGGGUUGUAAAAUUCUGUUAUAAGGGAAGAAUGGCUUUAGUAGGAAAUGGCUAGAGUGUGACGGUACCUUAUGAGAAAGCCACGGCUAACUACGUGCCAGCCGCCGCGGUAAUAC
rnacentral:rRNA from 1 species